rnacentral:misc_RNA from 1 species
UCUUGGCCACGCUGAUGGGAUCUUGUUGUCAUCGGUCAUCACGUGCAUGAUUUAUCAAAGAAGCUUUCUUUUGGUUCAAUUUGGAGAAAGAAAUGCGAGAUUACGUCGAUGCUGUUAACAAGUCAUCUGGAGGCAAAGUCUUCAAUUGGGGUUACACAAAAAAUUAUUCCUACUGGAAAGAACGGACAGGAGUAACAGAACACCCGGUGAGCGCUGAGGUAGACUGGAUCGGCUACGGACCGUGCAGUGAGACGGAUCAUUCAAAUUAUAAAACAGACUGUACGGGACUUUUUCGGUGGUCCGUUAAUGCAGGCGUAAACGGUCCUUUUAGCUUGAAAGUGUUGACUAUGCUUCCAGUCUGCUACAGACAGCUACCUUCGAGGCCGUUCUUCCUCGAGCUAAACCACCUUUCCGCAACAAUGACAAUGAUCGAGUGGGGCCAUCCAUCUCUCAGCGAAGAAACCGUUAUAUUCAAUGCGAGGUGUAAGUUCGAAGCAGAGAUAGACUUUGACGGCUACUUUGCAUACCUCUUGCUAACUGGUGAAGCCUCCUUCCAAUGGAUUGCUGUCAACGUCACUGUGCUAGCAAAGGAGAGCAAGGGGCUUCGAAUAAAACGCGGCAAGUUGACGUACCUUUUGAUGGGCAAUUAUGAGGAGACAAUAUGGUGUGAUAAAAAAGACAAUAAAUGAAGAUAAGGAAAUUCCCGCAGGCACUCAUUGUACGCCCUCGCAAAAUGCAUCACUGCUGUUACAGAAAGCACAGUUAUAUGCAUGACAACGUUGGCGUCACUGUCGUGAAAAAUACUUGAACACGUACGAAAUAAAGACGUUUACAAGACGCUUAUA